CUCUCUCCCUAUUUUCUAGAUUACAACUAGAACUAACUAGAACUAGAACUAGAGGAACUAGAACUAGAACUAGAUGAACUAGAACUAGAUCUAGAUGAACUAGAGGUAGAACUAGAAGAACUAGAGGGAUCCUCUCUACUUGGAUGAAGAAUUGAAACCCUAGCUUUGAUUCUGUAGAAGAGGUAUGAUCUCCAGGGGCCAGGGGGGUCUGGUUUUAUAGUCCCUUCAAGUGAAUCUGGGCUGUCAGAUCAAACCGACAUUGAUCGCACGGUUUUCCUUGAUCCUUUAGGUCGGUGGAGCAUAAUCCGCGAAACUCGUGCUGAUUGGCCAGCAGAGGAGGGCGGGCGCCCAGGGGGGUAGGGCGGGCGCCCUGCCUCCGGGCCCGCUCGGCCUCCCGUUCGUUCCCGUGGCUUCUGGAGUCUUCGAGAUAGUAGAAAAUUGCGCGGCACGUUAAUAUCUCUAUGUAAACCCGACGUGUGGGCCGUUCCUCCAUAUUUCCUGAUAACCCCCUGCGGAAAUAGACAAACACCAAAACUUAUGGAAUUCUGUCAGAUAAAACCCUAAGUCUAGGUGUUGGUUGCAUUUAGAUCCUUUUCCAUGAUUAGUUGAUGGUUAAAUGUGAGCAUUAAGGACCGUCAACAAGCUCCCCUAAGCUUAACCUUUGCUCGUCCCUGAGCAAAGCUAAAAUCAGCAAGAAAACAGGGGUUACUUUUAUGCCUCUUACUACAGGGUUUUUAAUUUGUCAAUAAGGUCUUAAGUGAUUGAAAAACAGAACGAUCAAGUCAAGCACUAUGUCUCAAGUUCUUCCGUCUUACCUUUGUUCUGGAGUUUUUUUAUAAGUCUGCAAAAUAAAACUGAGGCAUUUGUCUUUUUCUCGAAAGAUUUAUAAGUAGAGCUUUAAAAGUUUUAGCAUACUUACUUUGCAUUUUGCUAUGUCAACGCUCGGAGUAAGGGAGAGGAAUGUCAUACUCCUAGAUCAAGACCUUUGACCUUUUUGAGAAGUUUGUCAUCUCUUACUGGCAUAUUGCUUAUUAGAGGGACCAUGGGCUAUCAUUUUUUUUCAUUUUUUUUCAUUUUUUCUCUCUUUUUUUUAAGUGGGCAGCAAGUACCUCUAAUUCUACUGUCGGACACAUGUCCAUUUUUUUUCACUCAGGUGGGUAUCUUUGUACCCCUAAUUCUACUUCGGACACUUGUCCAUUUUUACCUCUCGUCUCACUUUCUUUUUUUUCGAAUCAAAUUUUUGCAUAGUCCCAUGCCUCUAACGCAAUAAUACUUCGGAAGAGUGAAUCUUUUAUAUUUUUAAAACAAAAAGAUCUUGAUCUUGGGAGCAUGAUAAUUCUCUCAACCAAAACUACAAGAAUUAACAAUGGCUUGAACAAACCAAGUGCCCACAGUUUUAAUAUUUAUAUCUUAUAAGACUCUAGGUAUUAUGAUCUCAUAUAUUUUUUUUUAGAUUUUCAAAAGAUAAAAUCUCCAGAACUCUAGCAAAACAUGGAACAAGUUAAAUAAUAGCUCAGACCUUCUCAUAUCAUGUUUGUCAAUUACCUAGACUUGGAUCAAACUUUCUUUUUAUUUUAUUUAAAACCUAGGAUUACACAAAACUAUUGUAUAUUACUCAAAAGAAAAAAACUUUGUUUGGUUUCAUGGUUAUGCAUUUUUUUUAAAUUUAUUUCCAAAUACUAGUAAAUAAAACCAAUAAAGGAAAGUAAUACUUAUCUAGAUACACGUGGGGGUGCCUCCCCCAAGCUGGAUGUUGACAUAGUCGUUCACUCUUGUGGCCUGCAUGGUUGGUCUCACUCUUCUUAAGCCUCAAAAUCCUGCACAACCCAAAUAGACAACAAAACUUGUGGAGCAUGUUAAGGGUUAGGUAAUUGUCUAGAGCUUAUGAGAGCUUAAUAUGAGAAUUCUAUGAACUCAAUCACAUCAAGUUCCUCUACCAGGUUGUUUUGUGGCUCGAGAUAGAUUUUCAAGCGUUGACCAUUCACCUUAAAAGUGUUACCUAUGUCGUCUUGGAUGGUAAUGGCUCCAUGUGUUGAAGUGUCAAUAACCUUAUAUGGUCCAUCCCACUUACUUCGUAGCUUACCAUGACCAAAGAGCUUAACUCUUGAAUUGAAUAGUAGAACCUUAUCUCCAGGCUUAAACUCCUUGUGCUUGAUUCUCUUAUCAUGCCAUCGUUUUGUUCUCUCUUUAUAGAUCCUUGAAUUGUGGUAGGCUUUCUCUCUCCAUUCUUCUAGCUCAGAUAGUUGCAUCAGACGAUUCUUGCUAGCGAGGUGGAGAUCCAUGUUCCAUUUCUUGAGUGCCCAAUGAGCCUUAAACUCUACUUCCACAGGCAAGUGACAAGUUUUUCCAUAUACAAGUUGAUAAGGUGACAUGCCUAUGGGUGUUUUGAAUGCAGUUCUAUAUGCCCAAAGUGCAUCAGGAAGUUUGUCCUUCCACCCCUUACCCAUCUCAUCUACGGUCUUUUGUAAAAUAUUUUUGAUUUGUUUGUUAGAUGUUUCAGCUUGACCGCUAGUCUGAGGAUGGUAUGGUGUUGCGACGUUGUGUCGAACUCCAUGAUCGGCUAGGUACUUUCGGAAAAUUUUGUCGAUGAAGUGGGAACCUCCAUCGCUUAUAACUAUCCGGGGUAUACCAAAGCGAGGAAAGAUUACUUCAUGGAACAUUCUCUUGGCAUGUUUUGAAUCAGCUGAUCGACAAGGUAGGGCUUCUACCCAUUUGGACACGUAGUUCACAGCUACUAAGAUAUACUCGCAAUUCCCGGACAUAGGGAAUGGCCCCAUGAAAUCAAUGCCCCAUACAUCGAAAAGUUCUACUUGAAGAUUAUUUGUGAGAGGCAUUUCAUUUCGUGAGUUGAUAUUCCCAUGUUUUUGACACCGGUGGCAUCUCCUGACAAAGUCCUUUGUAUCUUCAUACAUCGUUGGCCAGAAAAAACCACUUUGCCAAAUUUUAGCAUGUGUCCGAAAUGCUCCAUAGUGUCCUCCAUAUGGCGAGGCCUGGCAUCUUUCCAUAAUUUGAGUAGCCUCAGCCAUAGGAACACACCUUCUCAAGAGUCCAUCAGCGCAGACUCAGAAAAGAUAUGGCUCAUCCCAAAGGUGGAAACGACUAUCGUGAAGCAACUUCCUUUUGUUUGCACCAGGUGGGACAUAGCCUUUUACUAUAAAGUUUACGAUGUCUGCGUACCAUGGAUCUGCAUGUGUUAUCUUAAGUAGGGUGUCAUCCCUUAGGUAGUCAUUUAUGGGAAGUUCAUCAUGUGUUUCCUUAUACUGAAGCCUAGACAAGUGGUCGGCUAUGGAAUUCUCAACUCCCUUCCUAUCUCGGAUUUCUAUGUCAAAGUCUUGGAGUAGAAGAAUCCAUCGAAUUAGACGAGGCUUAGCAUCUUUCUUAGUGAGGAGGUACUUGAGAGCAGCAUGGUCUGAAUAGAUGAUUAUCUUUGCCCCCACUAAGUAAGAUCUAAACUUGUCUAUAGCAAAGACAACAGCUAAAAGCUCUUUUUCAGUUGUAGUGUAAUUGAGCUGUGGUCCAGACAAGGUUUUGCUAGCGUAGGAUAUGGCAUAAUGCAUUUUAUCCUUGGUUUGUCCUAAAACGGCACUAACCGCAAAAUCGCUAGCAUCACACAUGAUCUCAAAAGGAAGAUUCCAAUCAGGUGGUUGGAUAAUCGGGGCUGAGAUGAGUGCUUUCUUAAGAGUUUGAAAAGAUUCAUGACACUCAUCACUAAAGAUGAAAGGUGCAUCCUUAGCUAGGAGACUAGUUAGGGGUCUAGCAAUUUGAGAGAAAUUCUUGAUAAAGCGUCUAUAGAACCCUGCAUGUCCCAAAAAGCUACGGAUUCCUUUCACAUUCGUGGGAGGUGGAAGUUUUUCAAUAACUUCAAUCUUUGCUUUGUCCACCUCUAUACCACGUUCGGACACUUUAUGUCCUAGCACUAUUCCUUCCUGAACCAUAAAAUGGCAUUUCUCCCAGUUCAGGAUUAAGUGCUUUUCUUCACAUCGCUGCAAGACUCUAUCUAAAUUCUCCAAACAAUGAUCGAAGGUUUUGCCAUAGACGGUAAAAUCAUCCAUGAAAACCUCCAUGAUCUUCUCAAUCAUGUCCGAGAAAAUAGACAUCAUGCACCGUUGGAAAGAAGCUGGAGCAUUGCACAAUCUGAACGACAUUCGUCGGUAUGCAUAAGUUCCAUAUGGGCAUGUAAAGGUAGUCUUUUCUUGGUCAUCUGGGUGGAUUGGGAUUUGGUGGUAUCCAGAAUAACCAUCAAGGAAACAAAAGAAACAGUGGUUUGCAAGCCGUUCCAACAUUUCAUCAAUGAAGGGUAACGGAAAGUGAUCUUUCUUUGUAGCCUUAUUGAGUUUUCGAUAGUCAAUACACAUACGCCACCCAGUGACAAUUCGUUGAGGGAUGAGUUCAUUCUUCUCAUUCCUAACGACCGUCAUUCCUCCUUUCUUUGGCACUACUUGGACAGGGCUAACCCACUCACUAUGUGGCACAGGAUAAAUAAUCCCAGCACGAUAGAGUUUGAGGACCUCUUUCUUAACAACCUCUCGCAUAGCAUUGUUAAGUCUCCGUUGUGGUUCCCUUGAAGGUGUAGAAUUGGGAUCAAUAGGGAUACGAUGAGUACAGAGAAUGGGACUAAUGCACGUGAGAUCUUCGAGAGAGUAGCCAAAUGCUGAUCUAUGCCUUUCAAGAACAGUGACAAGUUGUUGUGUUUCAUAAUCGGAAAUCUUGUCACUAAUAAUUACUGGAGUUUUUGGGUUGUUGUGCAAAAAGACAUAUCUGAGGCCAGAAGGAAGAGGUUUUAAUUCUAUCGAAGGAGGUGAAGGUAGUUCAUUUUUGUCUAGCUCAACGGGUUCUACUAACUCUUCUUCUUCUUGAACAAAGUGUUCAUGAUUAAAGAAUGGUUGGGUCAUCUCCUCUUGAGUCACCAUUAAGACCUCCUCAAUAGGAUCUGGGUCAAGUUUGGGUUCCACUAUCGUGUUAAUUGAUCUAACAAGAGGAACAACAAUAGUGGAAUUCCCAACCUUGAAGUCCAAAUGACCUCAUUGUGGUUGUUCAUGUAGAAGUUUUAUGAUUGGUCUACAAAUCAAGAGAGGAAUCUCUGGUAUGUCAAAAAUGUGAAAAUCUAGACAUAUUCCAGAGUCCUUGAUUCUAACAGGAACUGCCCUUAAUACCCCAUGGCUUUCUAGAAUUAAUCUAGAUGGACUUUGUAAAAGUUUUUGAGAUGGGGUUAUGGACUCGUUGGGAUAAAGAGUGCCAGCAAACUCCUUGGAAAUAACAUUUAUCCCAACAUAUGCAUUGUAGUGGACCAUCCUAGGGGACCCUCUAAUUUGGCACAGAAGAAUGGUUGAAGGAGUGAUGAUUCGAGCUAUCUCAAGAGACAGCUCAGCUUCUGUUAGCCAUUCAUAACUCAGAAUAGCCGAAAGGCUUUUGAUGUGUUCUAUGUCAACAGAUUCUACUCUUAGAACAGAUUGAGUGGUCCUUACUAGAGGUCGUGUUUGGAUAGGAAAAUUCGAGGUGUUUCCAUAAUCUUCAAAAAGAUCUUCCUCGAAUUCAAAGGGAUGCUCUAAAGGUGGUGGUUCAUCAUCCCUUAGUUGGUUUUGCAUUCCUUUAUCAGGAGGUUUCUCUACAACCAAAUUAAUGGAUGGGUCAGGUGGAAUUUCUAACUUGGUUGCGAGUUCCUCAUCUUUAAGUUUAAGAUCAGGCUCGACUUCUUUUUCUUCUUCAGGAAACUCAUCAUAAAUGCCUGUGUAAGGGGUAUUUUCAAGGAUUCUUUCUAGGAUAGCUUUCCCCUCAUCUGUGAGUUUGUGUGUGAAUGAGCCUCCUGAAGCAAUGUCGAGGUGAAGAGCAGCUUCCUUGUUUAGACCACGAUAAAAGUGGUAGUAUAGUACAUGGUCAGGCAGGGAAAGGUUUGGACCGGAAUUGGUAAGGCUUGUGAACCUAGCCCAAGCUGCUCCUAAAGUUUCCUUCUCUCCUUGUUUGAAUGUAAGAAUUUCGAUCCUAAGGUCAGCGAUUCGAAAAAGUGGGAAGAAAGCGAGACAAAAGUUGCCCCGAAAUUCAUCCCAACUUCCAUUAACGCCUCCUACAGAAUGAGCAUACCACUUUUUUGCUCUUCCCAAAAGGGAGAACGAAAAUAAUUUCUAUUUAAGGGUGUCUUGUGUCAUGCCGGAAAUAGAUCGGCAAGAGCACAACUGCUCGAAUUCUCUAAGGUGGGUGUAUGGAUCUUCAUCUACUUGCCCAGAGAAGGGUUGCUCCUGAAUCAUGGCUAUUAGAUUAGGGCCGAGGUCGUAGCCAUCUGUAAGAAUUGGAAGUGAUGAUGGUGGUGGCUCUAAUAACUCGCCCUUUGGAGCAAAGAAUUUAUAGAUAGGAGUGAAAUCCAUGUGGUGUGGUGAAAAUGGUAAGGUGAGUGUGGUAAAAGGGAAAAGAAAAAGGAUACACAGACGACUUGGUUCGAAACUAGCACAGCUACCGUUCCCCAGCAACGGCGCCAGAAAGCUUGUUGGGUAUUUUAAACGCAAACAGAAAAAUCCGCAAGCGCACGGAUACUGAUUUAGCUUUCACCCGGGAGUAUUCCAGAGUAUCGAUUUUCCACAGAGAACGUGAGUGUACUAAUUAAGAAUCAAGAUCACCCAGGGAUAACUAUAUAAUUAUUUUUGGUGGGAAGAGAGGAAGUUUCCUGAGAGUUCUCUAGUUGAUCUAAGAAUCAAGAAUUACUUCAAGAUUAUUUAUUUCGGGACAUCAGAGCACUAACCACAGAAAGAGAUGAGAAGGGGGCUAGGAAGCUUUGACUACGGUCCUACAAACACCGAUCCGAACGAGGUGGAAUACGUCGACCGCUAGGGCUGUCACUACCCUAGGGCUACCACAACAAUCCGCAGGAUUGGGUGCAAUUCCAGGUAAUUGCAAGACUAAACACCACGUCUAAUCUAUUAAUUACUACUCUAAUAUUGCAAAGAUUAGAGCACUUGAUGCAAGCGGGAAUCCAAUAAAUAACUUGAAUGUAAAUAAAAGUAAUUAAACCACUCAGGAUUAUGAAUUGAAGAACCUGGAGAACGAUGAAGAACGAACCAGUUGCUGCAAAAGUACAAUGUUGAGGAAGAUCCGAUAGAUCCGGCUCCUCCUCCUCCUCCGCUCUCCUCUUCUCUCUCCCUAUUUUCUAGAUUACAACUAGAACUAACUAGAACUAGAACUAGAGGAACUAGAACUAGAACUAGAUGAACUAGAACUAGAUCUAGAUGAACUAGAGGUAGAACUAGAAGAACUAGAGGGAUCCUCUCUACUUGGAUGAAGAAUUGAAACCCUAGCUUUGAUUCUGUAGAAGAGGUAUGAUCUCCAGGGGCCAGGGGGGUCUGGUUUUAUAGUCCCUUCAAGUGAAUCUGGGCCGUCAGAUCAAACCGACAUUGAUCGCACGGUUUUCCUUGAUCCUUUAGGUCGGUGGAGCAUAAUCCGCGAAACUCGUGCUGAUUGGCCAGC
rnacentral:lncRNA from 1 species